CAAGAAGGAGGGCAAGCCCCAAUUUCUAAGGAGUUAGUAGAAGAGGGUGAGUCAGAAAAGUUAGCUGAGAGGUAAAUGCCAGAGAAAUAGGAGAAAGGCGAGAGUGGUGUCAUGGAAACCAAGAGAAGAGAAAGUUCUAGAAGGAGGAAGGAGUCAACUGAAAGCACAAAUGAGGAUUAAACUAUCUCUUAUUUAGCCACAUGGAGUGAAAUACUGACCUUUCCUGAGGCAAUUUCCGUAGAAUGGUAGGGUGGGAGAUUGAAUGGAGAAGGAAGAGAAGUUGGGCAAAGUGAAUGUAAGGAGGCUGAGGAGAAGGACGAGAAAAGAGAAGCACCAGGAAGGUGGGAAAAGAAGAUCCCAAAGAAGACAGGUUUAUAAAAUUUGAGUCAGGAGGGAAGAGGACAGAGGAGACACAAGUUCAAGACUAGAAUCCAUCUGUUGUGUGUGAUAGAGGUCAGUGGGGCCAAGAGUCUUGCAAGCCUCAAGAGAUCCAAGGUUGGAACUCAGGACUAGCUCUGGCCAGCCAGUGAAGUCAUGUGCUUCAGGACUGAAGAAGCAGGGGAAGUUCUCUGAAUUCUCACUUCAUCGUCUACAGCCACCAUAGAAGUCACAUGUUAAGAUUAAACAACAACAACGAAAUAAUCUCCGUUCAUCAGGAUGUCAAAUAUCACAAGGGUUCUCACCAUUGUUCCCCAUCUUCAGAGGCGAUCCCUAGGGUCAAAGGGCUGUGGGAGCCGAUGCAUGAUGGGAAAUUAAAAGGUGGCCUACGGUGGAGAAAACUGGAAAAUAUUAGCUCAGAAGAACAAAGGCAUGCAUGAGAAGCAAGAAGGCAAAACGGGCUACGUGAGAGUAUGGUUAAAUAUGAAGGCAACAAAGCAAAUUGUUGAUCAGCUGACUUAUCCCAAUCAAUUAAGACAGUUGUAAUAAACUAAUUAGUCAUUAGUCAUUCGGUAUACUCAUCAUCUUGCCAUCUAAUUGGGUCGAUUGUUCUUUAGGAUAAUUCACUGUUCAGGAUUCUACCAAUUAAUAACCAAAUGGGCACCUCAUCCUCCUCUACACUCCAAUUGUCAUCUCUUGAAGGGAAUGUGAAUCUAACAAAAUCAAUAAAGGUGUGGAAUGUACAUGAGGAAUAUUUGGUAAAGAUGAUUAUAGGCACCAGGAGUAUGGUGUCAAAUGUCCAGUCAUAAUUGUUAUUAUUAGCCCAUAAAAUCAAUUUCAAGGUUAGGACUGUCCAUUAGUGGAAAGACCUCAUCUAAGGAGCCCGUACUUGUAAGUAAGCCCCAGGCACCUGGGAGCUGCCUGGACCCUGU
rnacentral:lncRNA from 1 species